rnacentral:rRNA from 1 species
UACGUAGGUGGCAAGCGUUGUCCGGAUUUAUUGGGUUUAAAGGGUGCGUAGGCGGCCUAUUAAGUCAGGGGUGAAAGACGGUGGCUCAACCAUCGCAGUGCCUUUGAUACUGAUGGGCUUGAUUACACUUGAGGUAGGCGGAAUGUGACAAGUAGCGGUGAAAUGCAUAGAUAUGUCACAGAACACCAAUUGCGAAGGCAGCUUACUAAGGUGUUAAUGACGCUGAGGCACGAAAGCGUGGGGAUCAAACAGG